UUUUUCAUGGUCUAAUUAAAAUUGUACCAUAAUUCUUUUACCCAUUUUUCAUUUUCGUUUUGCCAUUUGCUUGCGUAUGUGCCCUAUGGGUUAGUGUUGUUGAUCCCUAGCAUGAGCUUGGUUGCCCUGAACUUCAGAAUUCUAUUUUCUUGCUUCUCAGUCCCUCUCCCUCCCUGCAGGUGCUACCGGACGCAAGGGUGGAGAAUGCGCCUCCUUGCCGAAGCUUCUCGCUCUAGCGGUCUGGUGCUGGUGAUCUCAGCCCGUAUAGAUGGAUUGGCCAGCAGCUGUGUAUACGGCAGCGGUGCUGCUGUACUACUACACCUAUGAUCCAAUCUAAAGUGCUGGUCCCAAGACUCUGAACUAGCCAAGAAGCAGGAGAGGACGAGAGAGCAACUUCGCUGUGUGCAGCAGCCCUACAAACCCUUUCUACUAUGACCUGAUGAAGCCAUGAUGCUUACCUCGCUGGAGCGUAUCAACCCUAGCCAUGGUACCACAUUCUUAGUCAUGAGGUCACUGUGCUACAACCACAACAACGAUAUCUUCUCCAGUUAGAUAAGUCUUCGGUCUAUCCCAUUAUUUUCUGUUACUUGGUUUUGAGAUGCUUAUUUUGGGACGAAGGGAGUAUUAUUGUGUCGAUUCCCUAUGUGAUAUAGAAGCUAUGGUAUUUUGUUUUGAGUCUGUUGUAAUUGAUAAUGAUUUGUGUAAAAUUAGUGUAGAACAUAUGUCCUGUUAUCUUAAGUCAUUUGUGCAUGCUCAAUGAACCAUCUGAGAUUGAAUCAUUUUUUGCGUUCAACAUCUAGAA